rnacentral:tRNA from 1 species
GCGGAUAUGGUGGAAUGGCAGACACGUUGGCUUCAGGUGCCAAUGGUAGCAAUACCGUGCAGGUUCAAGUCCUGUUAUCCGCACCA